rnacentral:rRNA from 1 species
UACGUAGGGUGCAAGCGUUAAUCGGAAUUACUGGGCGUAAAGCGUGCGCAGGCGGUGAUGUAAGACAGUUGUGAAAUCCCCGGGCUUAACCUGGGAACUGCAUUUGUGACUGCAUAGCUAGAGUACGGCAGAGGGGGAUGGAAUUCCGCGUGUAGCAGUGAAAUGCGUAGAUAUGCGGAGGAACACCGAUGGCGAAGGCAAUCCCCUGGGCCUGUACUGACGCUCAUGCACGAAAGCGUGGGGAGCAAACAGG